ensembl:lncRNA
GGAAUUCACUCAUGUAGAAAUGCCACAUGAAAUACUCAAGCAGUUCAUAGACUCAAGGAGGGUCAUAAAACAGGAAGAAUAAAAACUUAUACAAACCACUGGACUCUUUGGACACCUGAGAUUGAGAUCCCCAUGAGUAUUACACACCAUCUUUAACUUCCUGUUACUUAACAAGUAAGUAUCUUUAUUGUGUUUUAUGUCUUUGGUAAACACAAAUAUCUUAAAAUGGUAUCUU